UACGUAGGGUGCAAGCGUUAAUCGGAAUUACUGGGCGUAAAGCGUGCGCAGGCGGUCUUGCAAGACAGAUGUGAAAUCCCCGGGCUCAACCUGGGAACUGCAUUUGUGACUGCAAGGCUAGAGUACGGUAGAGGGGGAUGGAAUUCCGCGUGUAGCAGUGAAAUGCGUAGAUAUGCGGAGGAACACCGAUGGCGAAGGCAAUCCCCUGGACCUGUACUGACGCUCAUGCACGAAAGCGUGGGGAGCGAACAGG
rnacentral:rRNA from 1 species